rnacentral:lncRNA from 8 species
CGGUUGUCUUAGACAGUACGUGAUGAGGGUGUUUUUAUGUACUGGGUAGCAGUAUUGCUGUAACUGGCAAGGACAGUUGUAGUUGUUAGUUUUGUUAUUGGCCUGGACUAGCCUCGUAUCUGCCUAAACUGUUAUGAAAAGAGAACUCAUGAAUUUACAAAUUAUGUUUGUAUUAACCGAUGACAGGUUUCUCUCCUCUCAUACAAGGUAGCAAAGUGAGAGAACAAUACCAAAAAAAAAAAAAUCAUAAUUGUUAUGAGUAUGUCCAAACUUAAAUAAUUUGCGUUUGUCUUACAACACAAACCGUGUUGAACAACUUUUGUCCAUUUUAUAAAAUCAGAAGUGUUGCAUGUUUUCUCUCGCUCAUAUACUGUCUUUGUACCGACCUGUAGGGAAGCAGGGUUGUAGUCUUUGUACCGACCUGUAGGGAAGCAGGGUUGUAGUCUUUGUACCGACCUGUAGGGAAGCAGGGUUGUAGUCUUUGUACCGACCUGUAGGGAAGCAGGGUUGUAGUCUUUGUACCGACCUGUAGGGAAGCAGGGUUGUAGUCUUUGUACCGACCUGUAGGGAAGCAGGGUUGUAGUCUUUGUACCGACCUGUAGGGAAGCAGGGUUGUAGUCUUUGUACCGACCUGUAGGGAAGCAGGGUUGUAGUCUUUGUACCGACCUGUAGGGAAGCAGGNNNNNNNNNNNNNNNNNNNNAACAAGUUCUCAUUUAGAAUUGCGACCUGGCCAAGAUAAAAGCAAAGCAGUUCGACACAUACAACAACACAGAGUUACACAUGGAGUAAAACAAACAUACAGUCAAUAAUACAGUAGAAAAAUAACUCUAUAUACAAUAUGAGCAAAUGAGGUGAGAUAAGGGAGGUAAAGGCAAAAAAGGCCAUGGUGGCAAAGUAAAUACAAUAUAGCAAGUAAAACACUGGAAUGGUAGAUUUGACAGUAGAUGAGUGUGCAAUGUAGAAGUACUGGGGUGAAAAGGAGCAAAAUAAAUAAAUAAAUAAAUACAGUAGGGGAAGAGGUAGCUGUUUGGGCUAUUUAUAGAUGGGCUAUGUACAGGUGCAGUGAUCUGUGAGCUGCUCUGACAGCUGGUGUUUAAAGCUAGUGAGGGAGAUAUGUGUUUCCAGUUUCAGAGAUUUUUGUAGUUCGUUCCAGUCAUUGGCAGCGGAGAAGUGGAAGGAGAGACGGCCAAAGGAGGAAUUGGCUUUGGG